rnacentral:misc_RNA from 1 species
UAAAAAACUUGCAAUAGUAACCCUUUCAGAGUUUUGAACUCUGAAAGGGUUACAAAAAAAAGAACUUGC